rnacentral:lncRNA from 1 species
AAGCAUCAUCUGUCUGCUAAUUUCAGAGCCUCCAGCAUCAGUGAAGAUGCCAUAUCCAUAUGGAUUCAUAAAAGAGGGGGAUGAUAUGAAAAUAACUUGUUCAGCGAUCCCUCCACCACUCCGUUAUAAACUGAGACGUUCAAAGAACAAGAUAUUUUGGCUGGAAAGCUCAAACGGAGAGUUCAUUUUACCACAUGUCACCAGAAACGACAGCGAUGUGUACAUCUGUUUACCUGAAUGGGACUCGUUAGUCCCAAAUCUGCAAGGUCUCAAUGCCACCGUCGAACUGACUGUGAAUUUUCUUGAUGGCAUUGAGUGUAACACAAGCAGCCCUUUAAACGUCAGCGCUGGUGAGGAUGUGGCGAUUUCUUGUAUCGUAAAAGCUUCACAGUACUUGCAGUAUAAGUGGAUGAGGGUAAGAUCGUGAAAUAUUAAAAGAUUGAAAUGAAAUAUUAAAGCAGUAUUGUUUUAAU